rnacentral:lncRNA from 1 species
UCUUCCUCCUCUUCUCUUCAUUCUCUUCCUGUUCCUCUUCUUCCUCCUCCCAUCUCUUCGUCUUCCUCCUCUGGAUCCGCCCCCUCCCCUCUCCUCCCCACCUCUCAGACGGUCGGGCCACGGCGGCCAGGCGGCGCGGAGGCGGCCUCGCGCGGCGGCCUGGCGGCAGCGAAUCUGGGAGGGGAGGCGGCUGGCUGUCCUCUUCUCUUCAUUCUCUUCCUGUUCCUCUUCUUCCUCCUCCCAUCUCUUCGUCUUCCUCCUCUGGAUCCGCCCCCUCCCCUCUCCUCCCCACCUCUCAGACGGUCGGGCCACGGCGGCCGGGCGGCACGAAGGCGGCCUCGCGCGGCGGCCUGGCGGCAGCGAAUCUGGGAGGGGAGGCGGCCGGCCGCCGCUGGAUCCGAGAGGGGCAGAUCUGCACGUAUUUUUUUUCUUUUUUCUUCUCUGUGUUGAAUGCAAUCUGUGAUGAGGAUGUUGAAUGAUUCAAUCUGUGUUAAUUCGAUCUAUGCUGCGAAUGAACUAUAUUAUUAUGAAUGAUUUGGGACGAAGUUGUUGUGAAUGAUUUGGGUUGAGAAUGUUGUGUUGAUUUGGGAUGAAGUUGCAAGUUGUUGUGUUGAUUUGGGAUGAAGUUGCUGUGAAUGAUUUGAGAUAAUGGGCGUGAGCUAAAAAAAAUAGCAAAAAAAAAAAACUUAGUCCUGAUUGGUGUUACAAACCAGGACUAACGAUACUAUAUCUUUAGUCGAUCUUUAGUCCCGGGUGUUUGAACCCGGAUUUGUAAUCCCGGUUUGAAAACCGGGACUAAAGGAAAUUACCAACUGGGAGUAUAAACCAUCUCUCCACCAGUGAAUGUAAGAGAACACAGCCACAGGUUAUUUCAUAUGGGGUCAGAUAGCCAUGUCUCUUGCAGUACCUAGUUAGAGGACAC